GACGAACGCCGGCGGCGUGCCUAAUACAUGCAAGUCGAACGAGAGCGACCGGUGCUUGCACUGGUCAAUCUAGUGGCGAACGGGUGAGUAACACGUGGGUAACCUGCCCAUCAGAGGGGGAUAACAUUCGGAAACGGAUGCUAAAACCGCAUAGGUCCUUUAACCGCAUGGUUGAAGGAGGAAAAGAGGCGCAAGCUUCUGCUGAUGGAUGGACCCGCGGUGCAUUAGCUAGUUGGUGAGGUAACGGCUCACCAAGGCCGUGAUGCAUAGCCGACCUGAGAGGGUGAUCGGCCACAUUGGGACUGAGACACGGCCCAAACUCCUACGGGAGGCAGCAGUAGGGAAUCUUCCGCAAUGGACGCAAGUCUGACGGAGCAACGCCGCGUGAGUGAAGAAGGUUUUCGGAUCGUAAAACUCUGUUGUUAGAGAAGAACAAGUGCUAGAGUAACUGUUAGCGCCUUGACGGUAUCUAACCAGAAAGCCACGGCUAACUACGUGCCAGCAGCCGCGGUAAUACGUAGGUGGCAAGCGUUGUCCGGAUUUAUUGGGCGUAAAGCGAGCGCAGGCGGUUCCUUAAGUCUGAAGUUAAAGGCUGUGGCUUAACCAUAGUACGCUUUGGAAACUGUUUAACUUGAGUGCAAGAGGGGAGAGUGGAAUUCCAUGUGUAGCGGUGAAAUGCGUAGAUAUAUGGAGGAACACCGGUGGCGAAAGCGGCUCUCUGGCUUGUAACUGACGCUGAGGCUCGAAAGCGUGGGGAGCAAACAGG
rnacentral:rRNA from 1 species